rnacentral:rRNA from 1 species
CCUACGGGGGGCAGCAGUGGGGAAUAUUGGACAAUGGGGGCAACCCUGAUCCAGCCAUGCCGCGUGUGUGAAGAAGGCCCUCGGGUUGUAAAGCACUUUCAGUGAGGAAGAACGCCUGGUGGUUAAUACCCAUCAGGAAAGACAUCACUCACACAAGAAGCACCGGCUAACUCCGUGCCAGCAGCCGCGGUAAUACGGAGGGUGCGAGCGUUAAUCGGAAUUACUGGGCGUAAAGCGCGCGUAGGUGGCUUGAUAAGCCGGUUGUGAAAGCCCCGGGCUCAACCUGGGAACGGCAUCCGGAACUGUCAAGCUAGAGUGCAGGAGAGGAAGGUAGAAUUCCCGGUGUAGCGGUGAAAUGCGUAGAGAUCGGGAGGAAUACCAGUGGCGAAGGCGGCCUUCUGGACUGACACUGACACUGAGGUGCGAAAGCGUGGGUAGCAAACAGGAUUAGAUACCCUGGUAGUC